AGCUCAGUUGGUAGAGCAUGGUGUUUGUAACACCAGGGUUGUGGGUUUGAUUCCCAC
rnacentral:tRNA from 1 species